CCAGGCUGCAGUCGGGCUCCUCUGUGCGGGAGCAGCAGCAGCUACAUCUCCCCAGCUACAUCUCCCCAGCCGCGGUCGGCCACUGUCGCAGGUAUCAGGAACAGAAUUAACACAGCCCAAGAAGUCUGUAGAAAAUGCAUGCAGCAAGGAUUGUAUGAUGGCAUUCUUUGGCAAUAAUUGCCAUAAGUACAUAAAGACAUAAAGGUUUACAUGUUGGAGAUACCCUGUGACUAAAAUCUCUGAAUGCUGUUGCAGAAGAUGGGCUAGGUCCUCUAAAUAAUAAAAUACCUGGAAAGAAGAUUAUCUAAAUGAGGAGUGACUACAUGGAAAGCAAUUAAUCCCAUAAGAAGUUUUAAGUGUCUACUGUUGAGAAAUUGAUGCAGAAAAUAAUUCAGCCUUCAAGGAAAAGUACAGGUAAAAUACAGCCCAUUUGGUUGUCAGUCCUAGGUAAUUUUGGUAUUUUUCAUAAUUGAAAACACAUUUUGAUCCAAAUGUGUGCAAACUAGAUAUUCUGGAAAGGUAAAACUGUUACAGCUAUGUUGCUGCUAUAUUAUAGUUAGGAAGGGAAAGGCUAAAAAGUGUGAGUCUGGGAUGGCUGUGCUUGGACAAAGAGUUUCAAGGGGAUCCAAUACAGCAGUGAUGAAAUAUUUUGUAAAGGACAUUGAUUAAAAAAAAUGUAAGUUCAGCAUCACCAAAGCCUGUGUAACAUGAUUUUUAACUUCUGGAAACUAUAACCUUAAUAAACUAGAAGUACUUUUAAUCAAGAGAAGUUGUUUAGGACAAAAAACAGGCUAUAUUUGCAGACCUUUGAUCUCUUACAUCUUGUAGCACUGGAAAUACUGUGCAGUACUGCUGAGAUACAAUACACUAAUGGAUUUAUAACAAGUUUGGCACAUGGAGACCUGUUGGCUUUAUUCAGACAUAGCACAGAAGCACAACAGGAAGAAAACACAACAUAUUGAUAGUAUUCAGACACUUGGGCAAAAACAAAAUACUGAAGACUAGACACUGAGCUCCUUUAAUAUGGAAAUGCUGUUACUGCACACUGGGCAUCUGGUACCAUACCCUGUGUGAAUAGCUGUGACCUCUGACAGAGGAGCUGCAGGAUCUCUUAGUCAUCACAGGGCUACGAGGAGGUUUACCCAUAACAAAUAUCUCUCUCUUUAAAUUAGCCUAGAAAAACCACAAAAAAUGCAUCAAUUAAGUGUUUAUGAAUGAAGCACCGUGGGAUUUUUGCCGCUUCAUUCACACAUGCAGGUUGAACAUGCUUUCCUUGGUAACAAAAGGCAAGUAUGCUACAGGUGCAUGUAGUGGUAUUGGUAGUAGAUAGUAUUUUCAUUUUUUGCACCAAUCAUUUUCUGAAGGUCUUGCUGCUCUGGCACGCGCACUUAUGCAUUAGAGUUAAGUGAUCAUUCAAGCAAAACACAUGCAUUUGGAGUAAGAACAGUUGUUGGAAGUCUGUCUACUGAAGUAGCUCAUUCAGUACAGGAAAAGUUCAACAGCAGACAGCAGAAACGCUACCUUGGAAAUAGAAAUGACAAAUGUUGUUAUCUGUUGCUGUUAAACAGACACCAGACCUUGAAUUUGCAUUUAUAAAGCAAAUACGUACUUGAUGGAAAGUACUCCAAUGAAAAAUUCUAGUUUGGUUAACAUCACCAGUAAUUAGCUAAAUACUUGACAUGAAUCAGUACUUAAAAGGAUGGGAGGCAAAUGUGCAUUCCAUGAGACUGCAGGUGGAUAGAGAGGCACGUGACGCUAGUGGAGUCCUGAUAUGGUGGAAAUCUCUUCCUUGUAUUAUUUGUUUGUUUGUUUGUUAGCCAGUAGAAAAUGGUAAGACAUAAGAGCAGUACCAUUUUGGGAGCUGGUAGGGUGAGUGGCCAAAAAAGGGAAAUCAGUAGAGGUCAAGGAGGCAGGAACACAUCAGCAGUUCUCCUCUGGAAGUGUCUUUACAACUAUUCCUUUGGAGGAUACAUUCUUCCCACCAUCAUGGAGGGAAGUGAUGCUUCUCUUCCAUCCAGCUACUCUACUGUCCAGAAUCCCAGGUGAUACUUUAGAGUUGAGCCUCAUUCCAAAUACUUACAUGCAUAUGGAUUUAUUUUCAAUACUUCCUCAACAAAUUCACUGGUAGUGCUUGAGUCCUGGAAAUGUCUCCUGUUUUUUUUUUUUCUUUUCCUUUUUUUUUCUACUUUAACAGCUACAGUAAGACUUCAGUUAUGGACAACACAUACAAACAGAAGAGUACUGUCUGCCCUUCUUUCUAAAGCUUAAGGUAAAGGUUAAGUAGAAAGAAAUAAUGAUGGGGCCCCAAUUUAUUUAAUUUUUUAACUGCAGCUGUCCUGGCAAUGUUGUCAAUGUUGACUUCUGAAACAAAUCUACCUACUGCUGGAAUGAAAUUAAAUCUUUAUCUCACUUCAGAAAUGUUGCAGAAAAGAAUCUGUUAACGUCAACAAUUUUCAAAAAGAAUUAAGAGCUGGAAUUCCUUAACAUCACUCCUUCAGUUUUGUUCCACCUUGUUCUUUAUAUUGUGGCUCGCUAUCUGCAAAGAUGGGGCCAUAGCCUUUACUUGUGUUCUGUGCUUCCCGUGGUGCCCAGUAGAGCGCAGCGUGCUGUCUAAGAGGUUGCCAGGAGCAGAGAAAACCUUUUUUUUUAAUAGAAAAGACAUUUCCACCAUCUUCAGCAGGGAUUAACCUGCCUCGCUUAAAGAAGGACAAGACAUAUCAGGGUCACCUAAAAAUGCCUUUCUACUGCUUUUAUUCAAAGUGGCAGAAACAAAUGUUCCACUGCGUUUCACAGCUUCCUUGAAGUGAAAGGCACUGAAGCCCAUGAUAGAUUCAUACCCUAGCAAGAGCUCCUAGAGAGUAACUUCCCUUCUUCAGGAAAAAAAACCCACAAAGAAACAACAGUGCAGCUUAAGAAGACCUUAAGAAGUUCAUUAUGCUUAAGUUUCCCAUUAACACAGAAUCUAAGAUGCAGGUUUUUCAAUGAUUUUUUUUCUUUCCCAUGGAGCUAAUGAUCACUUUUCCCAGGACAGUUUCUCAAACUUUUAAUGUGAUUCUUUUUCCUUGUCACAAGGAGACUCUGGAAAUUGAUUUUAGGUCAAAACUGCACUGGGAAUUUAUCUAUUUAGAGCCGUAGACUCUUUCCAGAACUCAUUUUUUCUGCCACAGAAUUGCAAUGCUGACAGAAAGUGUAGUUUUGAAGAGGGAAUAAUCUGUGUUUAGUCCUUGACUAAUUGAUUUAGAACGUUACUCUGUACAGUAGUGCUUUACUGUGAAACUUAGAGCUGUUCUCCUUAGCUUUGGAUUGAAGGUAAAAAGUGUUUUCAAAUAUAAAUAUUACUUUGUUUCUGUUUACUUGGAUAUUGUUCAGUAUUCUUAUUCAAAUGAAAGAAAUCCUGGCAUGAACUUUUGAAAGCGAGCUGAAGGCCUUUUGCUGUACGAGUAUCUGGGAGAGCUACUUCAAAAGUAAUGUCUCAUAUUGUGUUGGCCUCUGAUAUCAGAGGUGGAUGUUGGUGGUAUGGAAGUAGACGUUAACCUUCCCACCUAUAUUCCAUUGCAGUUUGUUGCCGUGUGAUGGGUAGCAGCAGAGGGGCAGUCUGACAACAUGGCGUCUGGCAUGAAACCGAGUAGGAGCGAAAGACCACUUUAGUUUAUCUUGGUGUGGAUGUUUUACAUCCUGCAGAAAAUCUGUGGUAAGACAAGAUGUAUGGAAGAUCCUGAAGCACUGUACAGAAGCUUCAGAAAAUAAUCUAUCCACAACAGCGCACUAAGCAUGCUACUUUGUGUAACCUAAAUUUGAUUUACAAGAAAGGUCAAUUCAGUGGGCAACCCUGAGGAAUCAUUACAGAAAGGUGAAGAUGCACAUCUGCUCACAUGUUCAAUACUGUAACUGAUAAAGCAAAGAAUGAAAGGAUGGAGAUGGCAUUAAAAGAACAGUGGGACUGACUAGAUGCAAAAUCUACAAAAUAGAAUUAAAAUGUAGGUCUUCUGUCCUCUCAUUGUUUUUUAAAUCAUUGCAGUCUUAUACCACAAACCAUUCUUAUCUACCUAACAUCUUUUCAUAUGGAAACUCAGAAUUCUUUAAAUACUCCAUCCACAUCAUGAAACUUUUUUUAACCAUCAUUUUCUAAUGAGCAGUCUUCCUUGGACUUAAGACUCUUAAUUGAAUUGCGGUGAUGUAACCAUGUCCCUGGGGUGGAAGUGGAACUAGAUUCUGAAGUUGUACCACCAUUUAACAAGCUAGGCAGCCUAGAGAAAACACUUAAAUUAGUUUAUAUAUUAUUAAGUGCGAAGAGUGUCUGCUGUUCAGAGUAUUUACUUGCUUGUUCUCCACUCCUAAAUUACAAAAACAAUUAAGAUAAAACUAUGGCACAAAACUGUGGUAACUCAAGAGUGUACUGUAUUCAAAUCAAUUGAAAAGUUAACAAUCUGUAGUCAACAGAUGCUAGUUAAUAUAAAUAUAGUUACUUUAUGACUGAGUAAAAUCCCCAAAGCCUGUUUGUGAAGUGCUUCAAGUUCUAGGACUUAAAAGUACACACACAAAAAUUGAAUACAUCACUCUCUUAAGCAUAUUUCAAGUGAUAAUUUGUUACUUUCUUUAGAGCUUGUACACCUGCUUCCAUUUCUUCUGCCAAAGCAUUAAAAUAAGCAAUUGGUAUAUAAUCACAAUCACCAAAGCUAUUACAUAAAGUUUUAGAGUUUGCUGUUAGGAUAAUGCUCUUUCUAUAACACACCAACAGCAGUGAUUUGGUUUUUGUUCUUCUUUUAAAACACAAGUAAUGACAGAACACAGAUGUCAGGAUUGAAACAGUUGAGGCAGUUUCUUGUGUAAUUCUGUGAUUUUUCAAAUGAGCCUUUCCCCCACUCACACCUGCUAUCCACCAGACAUUCACUCCAGUCAACUACUGUCCACGUCCAUUUAAAUAAAAUCAGAAGAUGCAGCUUGUCUUGCAUUUGAUAUUCUUUAAGUACCUGUCUCUUUAGUGAAAAAGAAGGAUUUUGUCUCAUCUAAAUACUGUGUUGAUAAGUGGCGCUUCCUUUUGUCUGUAUCAUUACGUUGUCUUAUGACCAACAAAAAUCUUGUCUCAGAAAUGUUACUGAUUUUUCUGCAUGGAUAUUGCUGCAUUAUUUAUUUUUGGUUUGCUACCUCUUUAUCUGUAGUUCCUCUUCUGUCCCUUGGAGUACAUCGUUCCACAUCAGUGAAAGCAGAAUAGUUUCCAGGAGUUUCCUGGUCUACUGAAAACAGAACAUCAUUAUGUGAAACUGUGGUAAAAGAAACAUAUUAAAAUCUGGCAUACUGCUUGGAAUCUUUUAAAGGAAUGAAGAGAUACUGUUUCUAUAAUUUCACAUGUAAUCAGAAGAGAAGCAUGUUAUGUUAUGGUUAAAGUGGACCUUUAAAGAAACAAAGAUACCAUCUCUCAAGUCAAGGCUUGCUUCUGAUCCACAGCUGAAGAAUGUGUAAUAGAGAAUGGGAAGAGCAAAAUUAUGCCUUACUGUAUGAGGUGAUGCAUCCCUGCUGGACCAAAUGGAAGACACAACAACAAUACUGAGACUUUAUCAAGCCGUUAGAAUCUUUUCUGAAUGCCAACAAUAUAAUCACAAUUACAUGCACAAAACAUGACUAAAGCAUGCCUCAAUGAGAUAAUAAGAGGAAACAAUUUCUCUUUAAUAGGCCAACUUGUUAGUUGUUUUAUUUCGUAAAAAGAUGAAAUUAUAAAUCAUUACUCACCAAUCUCUGUGGCAAAUUCUCUCUAAAGCAUAGCUUCCCAAUGUUUACUAGAAGAUGAUACACUACAGGAUGGCAGAUGCCUCUUUUUGUAUUUCAAUAAAAGAAAAAAGAAAAAAAUCUUGCACAGUUUCCAGUGUGAAUUAAAAUGCAAUGGAAUUAUUUCAGAACAGAGAAUGAAAUAAGCUGUCCCUUGACUUCUGAGAUUUACUAGCAAUUGUAGUCUCCCAAUGUGGGCUGCUGGAGGCUUCUGAUUGAUACUUGCCUCUUUGACUUCAUUCACAUGAUCUGUUUUUACCAACCUUAUGGAAAAAUAGAAUUAAAAACAUCUACUGCAUUAUGUUGCAGUUUUACAGAACAGAGACCUCAAUGGGCUGUUGGCUAAGCUACGAGGACUUCAAACUAUUGAUAAAUACAGUGGGGGGCAAAAAUUACUUAACUGCAUCACUUAGGUUGUUGGGUGCAAGCAUGGCAUCCCCAGCAAAUUUACCAUAGUUCCAAUUGUGGGCAGCUUUCUUUAUGUGGCUGCCUUGUUGUCACAGGAGCUAUUAGGAAUCUACAUUUACUCUGCACUAUGGAUUUCCCUACUUCCUAGAUGGUUUAGUUUAAUGUCUUUUGAAAGUCUGUCAUGUAUUCUUUAAAUGACAGCAUUUCUAUUUUAAAUAAUUCCGCUUCCACACAUCCAGAGCUCUAUGAAUGAGCAUCUUUGAGAAGUUAGUGACUUCAAAAGGCUAUUAGUGAAAUCACAAAUGGAUGAAAGAAUGUCUUUGUGAUAUUGGUUAUGUGUUAUUUGACCAAACCCAUCUUUACAGUUUUGAUUAUUGAGAAUUUCUCUUCUGUGAUAUUUCUGAAAAUUCCAUAGUCACAUUAAAAUUUGCUGAGAAGAAUUAGGUUUGCUGCCACAGAGAUUGGAAAACCUUUGAACAGCAAUAAUGAAAACUUCCUAAAAUAACUGUCAGGUCUAUUCACAAAAAGUAGCAUGAAGCAAUUGAAUGGGUGUAUUCUCAUGAAAAAAACAGAAACAACUCACUAUUUCACUGGCAGAUUUUUGUCAAUUACACAUUUUACUACAUAGGUUUUUUUGCUUUUUUUUUUUUUUUUAAUAUGUUUUUGAUGCUGAUUUUGGUUUAAAAAUAUUCAAGUAAAAGACUCCCUGCAUAUUGUUUUGUAUUUGACCGUCAUCUUAAUGAUGAAUCUGUUUACUUUCUGAAAGGUUUUUGGUUUUGUUUUAGGAAAAAAAUCACUCAGGUUAAAAACACCAUUAUUAUUUGUAGCACUAAUUAUCUAAUGGUUGAAGUACACCAUUCCUCCAAUUGUCCAGAUUUCUUCAUUUUGUGAAUAGACAAAAAAUUUCUCUAGGUUUGCAAUGAUGUAAAAAUAAGUCUUCCUGCGUUAUGAGUUUUGUGGGAUGGACCGUUCUUAUAUACUACAUGGAUAAAAAUGGAAUGAGAAAGGGUGGAAAUAAAGGGAAUAAAUCACAAGGAUAGAGGAAGAAAGUGAAUCCACCUUGGAAACACAGUGCACUAUCAUUUUCUUGGUUAUUGUUGUUAGUUGUGUCCAUGUCUUGAAGAGAGGCACUAAGAGGUAAUCUUCCACAAUCAUUCUGGUAAAGUGGGCAAUGGGUAGCACCAUCUUGAGGCAGUGGAUGAAAAGGCUGGUGCAUGGGACUCUUUUUCAGAGCUGUAAGAGAUGAAUUCCUUUCUGGAAUGUCUGGAAGCAGCUCAGUAAUAAGUCUGUGCAAUAUACUGUUGUCAGGCAAGCUUCCCCUUCUUUUUUCAGCUUUAAUUUGGUCACAGAUGUCUUUAAGUGCAGAAUCUAGUGCUUCAAAUACAGAUGA